GAGGUAAUGACUUUGGGGGGCAAAGAAGGAGGCAGAGGGAGAGUGGAAAUGGUGUACAGUACUCAUAUGCAAGAUUACCAAAAAAUCUUUUAAAAAUGUAAUAAAAACCUGUACAGUCACACAGCCUGACCCUAAGAGGGAACCUUGUUGCAGUAUUCUGAUUACUGCCCUAAAAUAUUUAUCUCAGAAGAGCCCAUGAAUUUUCAUUUUGACCAGGGAUACACAAAGUAUGUGGACUAUUUAUGUGAAGACAUUCUGGGGAAAGCAACACACAAGCUUUGGAACCAGGGAGAUUUGGGAUUCUGUCCAAACUGCUUCCCAUAAAGGCUGCUAUCCCACAGAAACCAUGCUCUCAGCCUCAGCCAGUACAAUCUCAGCUACCUACUGGCGCAAUUGUGAAGGGUAGGCAUCACCGAGGUGCAGGAAAGACGUGCAGGAGAGCAUGCUUUAAUUAUAAUGAUUACUCAGACAAGCAAGUCUGUGUAGUCAGCCCCCGCUGAGAUCGGUGCUCGUCACAAAAAUACAUGUCUUUGGAAAAAUAGAUCUCUUUACAGGAAGCUGCGGCUUCCACCAUCUUGCUAUCGCCAGGAUCCUCAUAGCUCCUCAUCAGCGUAGUGGAGACAAAGACAGGAAGCAGUCCCCUUAAGUUAGCUAUUGCUUAUAGUGUAGUCAUAUUUUAAUGAUCCUAUUAGGCACACAAGUCAGUGGAAAUAAAGUGAAUAGAAAGAUCAUGAGAUUCAAAUGUGUGUUUGUCCUUUCUUGCAGCUAUGAUGGAGGAUUUCCCCCCUGUUUCCAUUAUCAGAACUGCAGGUUCCUUCUCAUUUCAAACCUGUCCCCAGAUAAUUGCAACCAAAGAACUAUGCCUUGAUUGCUCACCACUUUCAAAGGAUGAUAUUGAGGCACCAACUUAGCAAAUAGAAAGUGUCCUCUGGUUUCUACUGCUGCCAUGUAACACCAUGACCACAAGGACCAGUAAUAGUCAUCUUCCUUCUCCCAGUGCAGUUCCCAGGGGGAGACAACCAAGUCUGGCUUACCAAGCUGAGGCAGCCGGCCAUGCCGUGUCGAGGCUGGGUAAGGUAUGGCAGAGGGUCUUUAUGACAUGACCGUGUACUCGGUAAGCACCGAUUAUGCAGCCCUGUUUAAUCUCCGUUUCUGUCCUGAAAGAAGUUCUUGUUGCCCAACUUUAUAAUUACUAAGCCUCGUGUGUACAAGAAACUCUCGUGUUUGGAACUCCUUCAUCAGCAGCCGAUUUCAGUAUUUGCUUUAGUGAUUGGUCUGUUUAUACUGAAACAAGUGAUAUCUAGUCAGUAUGCAUUUGUGCCUAUUUAUUUUAGAUCGGCAUAAAGGAUGCAUAUGUACUCAUUAGUGGUAUGAUAUGGCUGACUCUGGAUUUUGAUAAGCUGUGAGGAAGAUUUCCCCUAGCAUGGGCCCCUGCCAUGAUACCCUAGCUUGCAGCAGACGCCAGAGCAGUGUGCUACCUGACCCCAGGACUGGAGCCUCCAAGACCGUGAGCCAAGCAAAUCCUUCCCUCUUUGAUGUGGGUCAUCUCAACACAGGAAAUCGUCAGGAUCUCUACCUGCAAACAAGUUACAGAGCAAUGAAUAAAGUGCCCUGAUCUAGAAAACAAAAGGACCCUACGUAGAGAAAAAGUGCAAGGUGGAUCUACACCAACAAAUGCUAUCAGUGACUUUGGAGUGAAAGACCCUGAAUGGAUUUGUUUUCUGUUGCGCUAACCUCUAUUGUUUAACCACUUUAUGGUACUAGAAUUAAGAGUGUGCACUGCUACACAUGGCCUACCCUGUGGUUAAACACCAUUCACAUGAACAGUUGGGGAGCCUUCACUAUUACAUGGAUACACCCGCUUUCCCCUAAAAUAUGCCUGCUUUCACUCUCCGACAUCUAAAUCAUGUUGACUUUUCAUGGACCUCCACCUGGAAAUCGAAGGCUGUGUAGAGCCUCCUGCAGCAUCGGUGCACGGAGAGCAGUCUAACACUCCUCUCACCUUGUGGAUGUAUCCAGCCUGCCCGGAUGUGAGUGUAACUCUGCAGGUCUGUUAAGUAGCGGGCAAAAUCGGAGCCCGGACUUGUGACAUUUUCCUCCCGGGCCCACAGGCACUACGUGGAGUAGAGACGUGAAAACAAGCUUCUCCGUGAGGGGAAGUAUUUGCACAAAGAGCACCAACUCUACGUGUGACUCCAGCUUGUUUCAAGCAUGGCUUAAUCUACUGGCCAAAGUGCGGAAGACGUUUCCACCAAACACCAAAAGCACACGCGUGUUUAAACUAAUCUUAUUUCAUGUUGUGAUUCUCUAGUUUAAAUAAGAGACCAUAGGAACAUCUUUCUCCUGCUCCUUAUAUAAAUAGGGCUUAAAAACAUUUUAUAAUGAAAUAUAAAUACAACUCUAGAAAGCAAGGGAAAGGAUAGUAAUGCUUCCUCCCUGCUAUUAUACAAUACACCUAAACAUGUUCCCAUAAAUUUUUAUUUAAUUUUUUCUAAGCAAUAAAAUUCCUACAAUUGUGUCUCAAAUCCUAUUGCAUUGGCCAGAGAUACCUAACAAUCUGCCUUUUGUAUAUUAAUCCAUAAAUAUUUACAUAAUACCUUUGAAUUUAGCAUUUUUAAAAAUACAAUUUGUUUU